rnacentral:snRNA from 1 species
AGAGAAUCACUUGAACCCAGGAGGUAGAGGUUGCAGUGAGCCGAGAUUGUGCCACUGCACUCCAGCCUGGGCGACAGAG